rnacentral:tRNA from 1 species
AUUUAAAUAGCUUAUAUUAGAGUAUAAUAUUGAAGAUAUUAAGGAGAUAAAAAUAUCUUUAAAUA